rnacentral:rRNA from 1 species
AGAACGAACGCUGGCGGCAUGCCUAAUACAUGCAAGUCGAACGAGGUCUUCGGAUCUAGUGGCGCACGGGUGCGUAACGCGUGGGAAUCUACCCUUGGGUUCGGAAUAACAGUUGGAAACGACUGCUAAUACCGGAUGAUGACGAAAGUCCAAAGAUUUAUCGCCCAAGGAUGAGCCCGCGUAGGAUUAGCUAGUUGGUGAGGUAAAGGCUCACCAAGGCUACGAUCCUUAGCUGGUCUGAGAGGAUGAUCAGCCACACUGGGACUGAGACACGGCCCAGACUCCUACGGGAGGCAGCAGUAGGGAAUAUUGGACAAUGGGGCAACCCUGAUCCAGCAAUGCCGCGUGAGUGAUGAAGGCCUUAGGGUUGUAAAGCUCUUUUACCCGAGAUGAUAAUGACAGUAUCGGAAGAAUAAGCUACCGGCUAACUCCGUGACCAGCAGCCGC